rnacentral:rRNA from 1 species
ACUAACGCUGGCGGCGUGCUUAACACAUGCAAGUCGAACGGAAAGGCCCUGCUUUUGUGGGGUGCUCGAGUGGCGAACGGGUGAGUAACACGUGAGUAACCUGCCCUUGACUUUGGGAUAACUUCAUGAAACUGGGGCUAAUACCGGAUAGGAGCUCCUGCUGCAUGGUGGGGGUUGGAAAGUUUCGGCGGUUGGGGAUGGACUCGCGGCUUAUCAGCUUGUUGGUGGGGUAGUGGCUUACCAAGGCUUUGACGGGUAGCCGGCCUGAGAGGGUGACCGGCCACAUUGGGACUGAGAUACGGCCCAGACUCCUACGGGAGGCAGCAGUGGGGAAUAUUGCACAAUGGGCGGAAGCCUGAUGCAGCAACGCCGCGUGCGGGAUGACGGCCUUCGGGUUGUAAACCGCUUUCGCCUGUGACGAAGCGUGAGUGACGGUAAUGGGUAAAGAAGCACCGGCUAACUACGUG